rnacentral:tRNA from 1 species
GCGGGUGUGGCGGAACUGGCAGACGCAGGGGUCUUAAAAACCCCGGCUCCGGCGUGUGGGUUCGAGUCCCACCACCCGCA